UUUACUUGAAUAUGAAAUUCUAGAUGUGAAAUUGCCAGAUCUUUUAGGGCUUUAUCAUACUUUCUGGGAAGGUUGUCUCAUUUAUACUCCUGGAACCGUCUCCGACAUGCAACAUCCGUCAGAGGUAUCUCCACAUGCUAUGGAACUUUAAAACAUCAUUUAAGUGGAUGUAUAUUAUUCCAUUAUUAAACAUUCUCCCCUGAUUUUCUUAAAUUUUUUUUUUUUUUUUGAGACGGAGUCUCGCUCUGUUUCCCAGGCUGGAGUGCAGUGGCGUGAUCUCAGCUGACUGCAACCUCUGCCUCCCAGGUUCAAGUGAUUCCCCCUGCCUCAACCUCCUGAGUAGCUGGGAUUACAGGUGCCCGCCAUCAGGCCCAGCUAAUUUUUGUAUUUUUUAAUAGAGACAGAGUUUCACCGUGUUGGCCAGGCUGGUCUUGAACUCCUGACUUCAGGUGAUCUGCCCGCCUCGGCCUCCCAAAGUGUUCGUAUUACAGGCGUGAGCCACUGCGCCCAGGAUUUCUUAAAAUCUUCAGCACCUUUGUUGCUUCCAUUUUUAUGUCAUUAUAAGCAACAACUACACUCUGCAUAAAGUUUUGUCGAAAGUAUAUAUUAUUUCUUUUCACUUGUAUUUAGAGUGCUUCAUUAGAGUGUAAUUUUUAAGAAAAGGAACCUAAGUUUUUGAUGGUUUUAUUUCAUCCGUUUAUUAUAAGCAAGUGUGAUAUGCCGAGUCUAUGAGAGCUGAGCCUUUACCUACCUGAGAAGUAAGGCACGCUGGUGUUCCACUCACCACCUCCGUGCGGUUGGCCAGACUCUGUGGGCAAGGAUGUAAAUUGCUAUAAUUUUUUUGUGAAAGUGGUUUGAUGUAUCAAGAGCCUUAAAAUGUGUAUAUUCAAGAAUUGUUAGUAAUACUAUUCAUUAAUAGCCCCAAGCUGGAAACUGGAAACCGAAAUGCCCAUCAACAGUAGGAAAUGGUCAGAUAAUUAGUGGUAUCUUCUACUAUAAUGAGGAAGAACAAGUUACAGGCACUGGCUGAAUGAUGGCAUGAGUAAAUCUCAGGAACAUGUCGGGGGGGAAAAGCUAGACCCAGAGGAAUGCCUCCUUUAAGAUCCCAUUUAUAAAGCUUGGAGGCAGGUGAGGUGGCCUGUGCUGUGAGCGGAUGGGGCAGUGGCUGCAUGUGGUAUGGGCAGCAGGUGGUGGUUAGAAGGGAAGGCAAGGCCUCGUGUGGGGUGUGCUUGGUUUCUUGGUCCUGGUGCUCUCUGGGCAGAUGUGUUUCAGAUAUAGAAAUUCAUUGAGCUGUACACUUAGGAUGUGUAUACUUUCCUAUAUGUAUACACAAUAAAAGCUUAAAAAAAUACAUGUUUGUGCCAGGAAACUCAUCAUAGGUUAAAGUCCGUCAUAAAGGAGUUAGAAACCAGUAUGACAAUAGAAGAGAAAUAGAUCAUUAAAUAUUGGUCCACCUACGUUGUUUUUCAGGCAUAAAAAUCCUAUUUUCAAGGAAGCUAAAGCGUUAGGAGAAAGUGUUUACAAUAUAUUAAAACUGAAAAAAAGUACGACUGGAAACUGUGUGUAUAUAUAUAGAGAGAGAGAGAGAGACAGAGCGAGCAAGCACCACAUUUUAUUGGCUUGCUUAUUUGGUUUUACAUUUACAUUAUAAUCCACUAGAAGAAAGGACAUCGGGAUGUUAGCUGUUUAUUUCUGAAUGGUAGAAAUUAAAAUAUUUUCAUUUUUUUCUCUUUAUGUUGAUCAGAUGUUCUACAAUGAGUAUAUUUAAUUUUUAUGUUCAGAAUAAAAUCAGUUAUUUAAGAAGAGAGAGGAGGAGUGGUUUCUGGGAAACAAAAAACAAGGUUGUUCUCCUGUAAUUUGUUCAUUCUCUGUUCCCAUCAGAGCUCUCGUGUUGAAAGGGAUUAAGGAGAUGUUGGUGUCUUUUUUUUCCUUCUUCCUCUGGAUUGUGAGGAACUGAAGUCUUUAAAUGAAUCAGCAGUUCAUUCCUUGAAGUUAGUCUUGAAGACAUCAGUAUUUUCCCAUUUCAUGCUCUGUCAUUUUGUAUUAGAGGAGAGUAAGACACUUUAUAAAUGGUAUUUUGCAACAAAGUAUAAACCUUUGGGUUGUAUGUUUUCUGUUGCUUUAUAGUUUAAAAUGGAAUGGACAGGAACGUUUUUAGAAAUAUGCAAAUACAUGCUCUCAGUGGAUAGGCUUACACUUUGGCAAAAGUAACCUAAAUCCAAGCGGUCAUGAACCAUUGAGAAUCGUCUCUUCUCUGAAGACACUGAGCUGGAACCUGGUCUCGCUGUGCAGUGGGUGGCAGGCAGCCUCUGCCUUUUGAUUAAUCGUGUGCAGCUGUCUCCACACACUGCAGAGACGCUUUCUGCAUUUUGUCUCUAUUGCGCUCUCGAAAAUUUGGCAAAAUAAUGCAUUUCAUUUGCAGGUGGAAGUGAUUUGGUCAUCUACAUUUGUGGAUAAAGUCAUUGUCAUGAGACUCAUUUCUUCAAAGCAUUUCACAGAUACGAUGAAUGACAGAGCGCAUUCCUUCCUCAACAACAUUGGCUUUGUUUGCCUCCUCAGUUAAAUCAAGGUGUGAAACAAACCAGGAGAAAAAGAAAGAUUAUUUAAAAUGAGGCCAUCAGUAUCAGGAAUGAGAAGAACAGCUGCUUGCAAACUCCAGCACUGUGUGGCUUUGUGUACAGGACAGAAAUCUUGCUUCUGUAAGUUGUGGAAAGUUAACGUGACGUUAAUCUUGUUGGACCUUGUUUUUGUUCUGCACCCCUCCCUUGCUUAGGAGACUACCUAGGUGGAGAAGCGUACUGGGCCGGCGGCCUGCACCUCUACACCCCGUUACCUUUCCGGCCAGGCCAGGGUGGCUUUGGAGAACUUUUCCGAACACACUUCUUUCUCAACGCAGGAAACCUCUGCAACCUCAACUAUGGGGAGGGCCCCAAAGCUCAUAUUCGUAAGCUGGCUGAGUGCAUCCGCUGGUCGUACGGGGCCGGGAUUGUCCUCAGGCUUGGCAACAUUGCUCGGUUGGAACUUAAUUACUGCAUCCCCAUGGGAGUACAGACAGGCGACAGGAUAUGUGAUGGCGUCCAGUUUGGAGCUGGGAUAAGGUUCCUGUAGCUGAUACCCCUACAGGAGAAGCUCUGGGACUGGGCAGCAGCAAGGCGCCCAUGCCACGCACCGUCUCUCGAGGAAACACGGCUCAGUGAUUCUUUGACUGCAGACCCUGUGGGAAACCCCGUCAAUAAAUGUUAAAGACACACUC
rnacentral:sRNA from 1 species